rnacentral:rRNA from 1 species
UUUGAGACCGGCGCACGGGUGCGUAACGCGUAUGCAACCUACCUCUUACUGGGGAAUAGCCCGAAGAAAUUCGGAUUAAUGCCCCAUAUGCUCGUACGGCCUCAUGGUCGAGCGAGGAAAGCUCCGGCGGUUGAAGAUGGGCAUGCGGUCCAUUAGUUUGUUGGUGAGGUAACGGCUCACCAAGACUACGAUGGAUAGGGGGUCUGAGAGGAUGAUCCCCCACACUGGUACUGAGAUACGGACCAGACUUC